UACCUUUGCAUCCGAAUUGGUUCCGUACGCUCGUUCGGGCAUACGGAUUAAAAGGGAAUCCGGUGAGAAUCCGGUACAGUCCCGCUGCUGUGAAACUCCUUUAACAUUCUAAUACUACUUUCGCCACUGGCCUAGUAAGCCGGGAAGGCAUUAGAAUGGGAGUCAGUCAGAAGACCUGCCAUUCAUUUAAGAUUCAU
rnacentral:ncRNA from 2 species